AUUUUGGAAAACAGUUCAGUGACUUCUCUAAGCUGACAACUAAAUGUAGGAUUCUGCUGAUUAAUAACAUAUGGCUAUUGAUUCACUAAAAUGCAUAUUUCACCAAAAGCAUCCCUUUUGAUAAGUUGUGAAGACGUGGAUGUCGAUGAAGGCAGCCCCCCGCACCUCUAUGAUACAGAGGGGUUGGGUUAAAUGUGGAAGACACAUUUCAGUUGAAGGCAUUGUUGUACAACUGACUAGGUAUCCCCCUUUCCCUUGAAAGGAGAGACAAUGAUCCCUCUCAUUUGCAAAGAGAUGGGAUAUGAUAAUAUUCAUAAAUGGGGAAUCGGGGUUCGAUUCCGGAGAGGAAGCCUGAGAAACAGCUACCACAUCCAAGGAGGGCAGCAGUUAUCCAUAUUACCCACUCCUGACUCAGGGAGGUAGUGAUGAAAAAUAACGAUACAGGACUCUUUAGAGGCCCUGUAAUUGAAAUAGGUAUGCUUGAAAUCCUUUGAGGAUCCAUUGGUGGGCAAAUUUGAUGCCAGCUGCUGCGGUAAUUCCAUGUCCAAUAGUGCAUCUUAAAGUUGCUGCAGUUAAAAAGCUAGUAGUUGGAUCUCGGGUAUAAGCUGACGGCCUGCCGAGAGUUGAGCUACGGCCUUUCUCAGCACCGAUACGCCUAACUGAGUGUCCCUUGGGGUCUUAGUGUUCAAAGCAGACCUUCGCCUGAAUACCACAGCUAGGAAUAAUGGAGAAAGACUCUGGUUCUAUUUUGUUAUUGUUUUCUUCUGAACUGGGCCAGUGGUUAAGAGGGACUGCCGGGGGUAUCAUUUUGUGCCGCUUGAGGUGAAAUUCUUGGACUGGCGCAAGAAUGUUUUCAUUAAUCAAGAAUGAAAGUCAGCGGUUUAAAGACUUUCAGAUACCGUUGUAGUUCCGACCAUAAGCAAUGCCAGCUAGCGAUCCGGCGGCUUUAUUCCCAUGACCCGCCGGGCAGCGUCCGAGAAACCAGAUUCUGGGGAGUAUUGUUGCAAUGCUGAAACUUACAGGAAUUCACGGAAGGGCACCAGCAGUAGUGGAGCCUCCGGCUUAAUUUGACUCAGGAAACCUCGCCCGGACAUGAAAAGAUUUGACAGCUUUUUCUCAAUUCUGUGGGUGGUGGUGCAUGACCGUUCUUAGUUGGUGGAGCGAUUUUGUUUUGUUAAUUCCAAUAACGGACCUGACAAUUUAAUCAACUUUAAACUAGUUAUGCGGCCAGAGAGGUCGGCGUCCAACUUCUUUGCGGGACAAGUAGCGUUCAGCCACACGAGAUUGAGCAAUAACAAGUCUGUGAUGCCUGGGGCUGCACGCGCGCCACACUGAGCCUUUGCCGAGAGGCGUGGGUAACCCGCUAAAGCCUACUUGUGAUAGGGUUUGGGUAUUGCAAUUAUUUCCCAUGAGCGAGGAAUUCCCAGUAAGUGUGGAUUAUAAACACGUGUUAAGUCCCUGCCCUUUGUACACACCACCCUUCGCUACUACCGAUUGGAUGGUUCAGUGAGGUCCUUGGAUUGGUUUCCAUAGGUGAACCUGUGGAAAGAUCAUUAACGGGUUGCCAGCUGCCGGUGCGGGGCUGUGCUCGAAAACAAAAU
rnacentral:rRNA from 1 species